CCUACGGGAGGCAGCAGUGGGGGAUAUUGCACAAUGGGGGAAACCCUGAUGCAGCGACGCCGCGUGUGGGAAGACGGUCCUCUGGAUUGUAAACUCCUGUCCGCAGGGACGAAAAGGACGGUACCUGGGGAGGAAGCUCCGGCUAACUACGUGCCAGCAGCCGCGGUAAUACGGAGGGAGCGAGCGUUGUCCGGAAUUACUGGGUGUAAAGGGAGCGUAGGCGGGGAUGCAAGUUGGGUGUUAAAACUACCGGCUCAACUGGUAGUCGCACUCAAAACUGCAGCUCUUGAGUGAAGUAGAGGCAGGCGGAAUUCCUAGUGUAGCGGUGAAAUGCGUAGAUAUUAGGAGGAACACCAGUGGCGAAGGCGGCCUGCUGGGCUUUAACUGACGCUGAGGCUCGAAAGUGUGGGGAGCAAACAGGAUUAGAUACCCCAGUAGUC
rnacentral:rRNA from 1 species